GGGCCCGCACAAGCAGCGGAGCAUGUGGCUUAAUUCGAAGCAACGCGAAGAACCUUACCAGGGCUUGACAUCUUGGUGAAGCGGCGGAGACGCCGUGGCCGAGAGGAGCCAAGACAGGUGGUGCAUGGCUGUCGUCAGCUCGUGUCGUGAGAUGUUGGGUUAAGUCCCGCAACGAGCGCAACCCCCGUCGCAUGUUGCCAGCGGUCCGGCCGGGCACCCAUGCGAGACCGCCGGCGUCAAGCCGGAGGAGGGCGGGGACGACGUCAAGUCAUCAUGCCCCCUAUGCCCUGGGCUGCACACGUGCUACAAUGGCCGGCACAGCGGGCUGCCAGGCGGCGACGCCGAGCGAAUCCCCAAAGCCGGCCCCAGUUCGGACCGGGGGCUGCAACCCGCCCCCGCGAAGUCGGAGUUGCUAGUAAUCGCGGAUCAGCACGCCGCGGUGAAUGCGUUCCCGGGCCUU
rnacentral:rRNA from 1 species